rnacentral:tRNA from 1 species
GACGCCAAGACGGUCACCACAGAACACCCAAGGACA